UAAUUACAUAACCCCCCGCUUUGACAUGUGGCUGAUAAAAUUUUUCUUCGCCAAAAGGGGUCUGAGCUUUGCCAGUCGAUCUCGGUUUCUCCAGUGUAAUUUAAUAUUGACGAAAGUUAUCCAACGGAGGUCAAACUUCUGCCGCACAACGAAAAUUUGCGAUCAACCUUAUUUUUGACCUUGGCAGAGGACAUACAGUUGCCUCUGAAAUUCUAUGUCGUGGCCUGGAUAGGCACAGACAUAUCCAUAUCGGAUGUCUUCAAGGAAAAGGAUUGACACACACACACACACACUGAAUUCAACCGUAGCUACUAUUGCUAUUAUUAUUAUUUUUUUUGCAUUUAAAUUUUGUACAUUAUAAUCUAAUCUAGGACACAUCAAUGCAUGCAGGCCUGUUGCAGCGAUGGAAAACCAAACUUGCUGUAACUGUAGAUAAAUAAGAUGUUAUGAAGAUUUGAGGUGAUGCUGAGGAUGGUUGUUAGUUGGAGUGGAGUUAAAAUAUGAAAAUACACUGAAGAUUGAUCAACAUGAAA